CCUAAGGGGACAUGGGGGUGACGGGGUGCUGACCUCAGUACCUCUCCCCUGGCACCAUCAUCAGCCUCCACCCCACUUCAGGGGUCUGAAAGUCCCUCCCCACAUUAGAGGGGGUGCCUCCACCCAGAGCCUCAAUCUGGGAAGACGCCCCCCUCCCCAAGACCGGGAUCUGAACUGCCUUCCGUAUUCCCCUACCCCUCAGGUUUUGCGAUCACAGCUCUGAGUCCCAAAAUAAUCCCUGGGGCUGGAGUGGGGGCGUGUGGCGUCGACUCUGACGGCCUAAUGAAGGGUCUCAGGCAGAGGAUGUGGAUCUAGCCGUGACAGCUCCUCGGGCAGGGAGCGGAGGACAAGAGAGAGCGGUUGCACGCCCCCCGCCCCCGCUCUGGCGAGGGUACAACCCCUGGAGUCACCAGACUUUGGCCCUGCUCUUCCCAUCAGGGACACACGCAGGAGACAGGCAGGAGUGCAGGCUGGGAGGGCCGACCCCCUCUAGCUCUUUGCCCCUCAUGUAUGCAGAAUCUGACCAGAUGAGUUUUUAA
rnacentral:lncRNA from 1 species